ACUCCUACGGGAGGCAGCAGUGGGGAAUUUUGCGCAAUGGGGGAAACCCUGACGCAGCAACGCCGCGUGAGUGAUGAAGGCUUUCGGGUCGUAAAGCUCUGUCAGAAGGGAAGAAAUGUGGGUGGCUAAUAUCCAUACCACUUGACGGUACCUUCAAAGGAAGCACCGGCUAACUCCGUGCCAGCAGCCGCGGUAAUACGGAGGGUGCGAGCGUUGUUCGGAAUUAUUGGGCGUAAAGCGCGUGUAGGCGGUUUGUUAAGUCUGAUGUGAAAGCCCCGGGCUCAACCUGGGAAGUGCAUUGGAAACUGGCAGACUUGAAUACGGGAGAGGGCAGUGGAAUUCCUAGUGUAGGAGUGAAAUCCGUAGAUAUUAGGAGGAACACCGGUGGCGAAGGCGGCUGCCUGGACCGAUAUUGACGCUGAGACGCGAAAGCGUGGGGAGCAAACAGGAUUAGAUACCCUGGUAGUCCACGCCGUAAACGAUGAGAACUAGGUGUCGCGGGUA
rnacentral:rRNA from 1 species